GUUUAGUUUCUUUCAGACUCUUAGGUUAUAUUCAAUGAAAAAAUAUGAAAGCAGUCCAAAAAUGUAACAUUCAUCAUUGAAUCAUAACUUACAAUUUUGUGAAGAUGGAGAACUGUAAUACGGAGAUCGCUCUGUCUGCAAAUACAGUCGCAUUCUGAAAUAUGGAAGAAUGGAUUUAAACAAAUUCAUUUGGAAGAGAUGUUCAUAAUUCUGCCCUAUAUCCCCCAAAUGAGACAGCUGGAAGCACCUGUUGAUUUCUGCCCUGACUCUGGCCCCAGGCUCACAAAUGCAUGCUAAUCUCAUUUGCUUACACUAUGCAGCAUGAAUAA